GUUGUUCGGAUUCAUUGGGCGUAAAGGGGGCGCAGGCGGGGUGCUAAGUCAGAUGUGAAAUCUCACAGCCUAACUGUGAUAGGUCAUUUGAAACUGGCAUGCUAGAGGACUGGAGAGGAGACUGGAAUAGUCGGUGUAGCGGUGAAAUGCGUAGAGAUCCGGAGGAACACCGACGGCGAAGGCAGCGCCCUGGCCGCCAUCUGACGCUCAGGCACGAAAGCUGGGGGAGCGAACAGG
rnacentral:rRNA from 1 species